UUGACAGCUCUGAAGAUUGAACUCCUCUGUUUAUCCACCGAGCAGGUAAAGCAUGUGAUGCAUCAGUGCAUGCUUCACUGCACCCCCUGCUGUGUGCCUCAGUUCCAAGCUGAAGGGACCAUGUCUUGAGUGGGGAAUUUGGUCUCCAUGGCCGUUGAAUCCUCUGACACU
rnacentral:sRNA from 1 species